rnacentral:rRNA from 1 species
UUAAAGUGUAAAAUAAAAAUGCUUGAGUAGUAAUAGUUAUUUUCUUGAAACUUAAAGAAUUUGGCGGUGUUUUAGUCUAUUUAGAGGAAUCUGUUCUGUAAUCGAUAGUCCACGUUGUACCUUUCUUAAUUUAUAGUUUGUAUACCGCCGUUGUCAGAAUAUCUUAACAGAGUAAAUUUCUUUAUUUUUUAUUUUAAAUUACAUCAGGUCAAGGUGCCGCUUAUAAUUAAGUAGAAAUGGAUUACAAUAAAUUUUAUUUAUAUGGUAAAUUAUUUGAAAUUACAUAGUUUUAAAGUGGAUUUAAUAGUAAGUUAAUAAAGAUUAAUUAACUGAUUUUUGCUCCAAAACAUGU